UUUGAGGUUAUGGUAAGUAAGUGACAGAGGGAGACACUGUCUCUAAAAAUAAAAAUAAAAAAAUUGAAAAUAUAAGCUCUCAGGGGAGUGGAGAUGGUGCAACAUAUUAAUAGUAAUGCAUACUGAAUAUGGGACUGCUGAAUUAGUGACUUUAAUGGAAGGCCAACUAGUGUUGUAGAUUUGCAGCCUAGAAUAAAUGUUUCAAAGCAAAGCUUUCCCUUGGAUCUCCUAGAAUGAAGCCCUGCCACUUUCAUUGAGGCAGGAUCUCAUGUAAACAAUUCCUAAUCAGUGUACCAGAAAAAGAAUAUCCUAGAAGUCUGAGAAGUCUGAGAGGAAGGACAAGCAAAAAGUGCAUAUGUAUGGAAGGAGACCAGUAGGCAGGGACAGGCUGGUGACAUUUGGAUAUCGGGCUUACAUUUUGGAGUAUCUCAUUUCAAAUCACACUCAUAAUGAGUGAAUUUCAAAACUGUUUUAUAAAAUUCCUGUGAGGUUAUGUACAUACAUACAUGGUAUCAUAGAGAGAUAUUUGUUCUUUGUCCCCGGUUCCUGGAACAGAGCUCCUAAAACCCUUCGAAUUUCCUGAGUGAUAAGGGUAAUGGGACCCUCUUUUGUUCUAAUGAGGUGAUACUUAGUGCAUACCUAGCUAAUUUAGGAUGAAGCUGGUUGCCAGAAAGACCAGGUCUUGAGCAGAAGCUUGGAACUUUCAGCCCCACCCUCUAUCCAGGGAUGGGAGGGGGUUGGAGAUUGAGUUAACCAAUUAUGCCUACAUAAUGAAACCCCUAUAAAAACCCCUCAACAAUAAGGUUGGGAGACCUUUGGAGUUGGUAAACAUGUCUAAGUGCUAGGAAGGUGGUGCACCCCAACUCCCCAGGGACAGAAGCCCCUGUGCUAGGGACUCUUCUGGACCCCACCCUAUAUAAUACUUCUUCAUCUGGCUGUUCAUUUGUAUCUUUUAUGAUGAACUGAUAAUAGUAAGUAAAAUAUUUUCCAGAGUUUUGUGAGUAGUUCUGGCAAUGGAUCAAACCUGUAAGGAAGAGGCACUACUGGAACCCCCCAACUUUGUAUCCAAGUCAGAAGGAAGUAUGGUGUAGCCUGGGGACCUGACGCUUGUGACUGGUGUCUGCAGUGAGACCAGUUUUGUGGGACUGAGCCUUGAACCUGUGGAGUCUGAUGCUGACUCUGAGUAAUUAGUGUCAGAAUCGAAUUGAAUUGUAGAACACCAGAGAGUUGAAGAUUUGUGUGAGAAAAAAAUCUUACACAUUUGGUGACAGAAGUGUUAUGAGCAAAAACAGCUCACGUAUAUAUGUAUGUAUAUACACAAAUGUAUAUAUGUAUUAUAUAACCUCAAAUGAAUAUUUAGAAAAGUUUUGAAGUUCACCAAUUAGGAGUAUGAUUUGAGAUUAGGAGUAUUUUAUAUAUAUAUAUAUAUAUAUAAAAAAUAAAUUUCUAUGCAAUAUGCCUGGAUGAGGUGUUUGAAUAAUUACAUUUAGAAACUCGAAUUAUUGAAAGCUUUAAUUUCUUUUAUACUUACAAUGCAUACUAUUAUAUUUCAUAGAAAGAAAAUACUCACCCCAAAUGAUUCACCAAUUGAUACUAAGAUUCUGUCAAGUUAAGAUGAAAUGCCAAUUAGUAAUAAAAAAUCAUAUACAAUUUUGCAGAGACGAGCAUAGAUACAUCAUUCUGAACUAUUAGGAAUACUAAAUUAAAGGUUACCUCUACCCUAGAACUACUGACAAACUAUAUUCAUUUGGGAAUUAUUGUAACAGUGCCCAUUUAAUCAUAUACUCACCUAGUCUCUUAGUUUUACAGCAAAAGUUAUAAGUCUGCAAGAACAUAUUCUGCUAUUGCCCAUAUUUAGGGAGGGCAAAGGAAAGUUUCAAGUUUACCCCUACUGAGUUCUUCGUAAAUCAAUGGGUAUUGUUUUAAAUCAACUGAUUCUUAAGUCUCAUGCUUUUUUCACACUAAAAUGAUAUCCAGCUCACUACUACACAGAAAAAGCCUAUAAGAAGAUUCUUCACCUAUUUUUUUACAGGUUCAAAAAGGCCUUGAACCCUUCCCCAAAGCCUUUUUUCUGGAAUUCUAAUAACUCAGGUAAGUCUGAGGUCUAUCAAAUGUAAAAAGUACAGACUCUGCUGUGAAUCUCAGAAAUUCUCUAAAUCAUAACACAUUCAAUAGCUGACAGAAAACUUUUGUUUCUCUUUUUCCUAGCAUUUGGGCUAAAGUGAUGAUAGGGUAAGAAGGCAGAAUAUUCUAAACAUUUCAUUAGCUUUAGUUCAUGAGGAUUAAUUUUUAACUUUAUCCCAGACUCAGUGGGCAAAAAUAUUAUGUGGACUGGUGAGGAUACUGCACUAUAAAGAAGACUGACAGUAGGAAUCUUUCUAUCAUGCCUGAUUUUGAUAACUACGAUUAAUGAAUCAAAGUCAUUACCUUAUACUUCAUGAUUCUAUUUUAUUUCUCUCACUAUCAAAAUUCUGUCUUCAUGAUUAUCUUAAUUUAA